rnacentral:rRNA from 1 species
GACGAACGCUGGCGGCGUGCCUAAUACAUGCAAGUAGAACGCUGAAGGAGGAGCUUGCUUCUCUGGAUGAGUUGCGAACGGGCGAGUAACGCGUAGGUAACCUGCCUGGUAGCGGGGGAUAACUAUUGGAAACGAUAGCUAAUACCGCAUAAGAGUAGAUGUUGCAUGACAUUUGCUUAAAAGGUGCAAUUGCAUCACUACCAGAUGGACCUGCGUUGUAUUAGCUAGUUGGUGGGGUAACGGCUCACCAAGGCGACGAUACAUAGCCGACCUGAGAGGGUGAUCGGCCACACUGGGACUGAGACACGGCCCAGACUCCUACGGGAGGCAGCAGUAGGGAAUCUUCGGCAAUGGACGGAAGUCUGACCGAGCAACGCCGCGUGAGUGAAGAAGGUUUUCGGAUCGUAAAGCUCUGUUGUAAGAGAAGAACGAGUGUGAGAGUGGAAAGUUCACACUGUGACGGUAUCUUACCAGAAAGGGACGGCUAACUACGUG